rnacentral:lncRNA from 1 species
GUUUGCUACAUGAUAGUAGUCUUUGUUUAAAAAAAACAUAUUAUGAAAAAAUUUGAAAACAAAAUUUUGUCCGCAAGCAACCCUCCGCGUCGACAAGCAAACGAGCACUGACAAUAGGAAGAACCAGCGAGUAACUCUGCCACCGACGAGGCCUCCUUAUAGUUUCUUCAUGACCUGACCUGAAUGUCCACCACCCGAUACAGCGAGUACACCAAAAUGCCAAGACUGCAGUAUAAACAGAACAUCCAGUGAGACCCGGGUAGCCAAAGGCCAGUAAUACCUAUUAAUUGAAGGUGAGAUUUAUUUCAUCUAUUUCACCUGCGAGAGAAAAUAUCGCAUUGUUAUAAAGGAUGUUAUGGAUUCUGCAGCGACAAAUAUCGUAAGCUAUAUAUAGUUGAUUGGCUUCUUGCGGAAAAUAAAUGGGCAAUAUCACACCAUCAUCAGAAUUACCAGCUGACUACAUAUGGCCACAACGUCCAGAUACCAAUGUUUGAGAAGCCACAAUUUUGCAUCGUCAUUGGUCACAAAGAUCGCCUUAACCCCCGUUGCCGCAAGCAGCACCAUGUGUGGUGCAGAGAAACGGUGGCGUUAUCCAUGCUGGAUCGCCUGGUAUGCCAGCUUUAACUUGUAUGGUGCAGAUUUUCAUUACAAAGCUGCGCCUCGUCGACUUGUUCUCGAAGGAAUUGUUGUACGUCAAGUCAUGUGUAGUGCUUCUCCCGAAGCACUUUUGGCACCUGAAGGGAUUUCCUUACAAUGCAAGAAUGAACUUUCAGAGACUAAAUACUUUUACAUUAUACAGACGAAGAAAACUUUCUUCUUAGUGAACUUUUGGGGCACCGGCAGCUUCUUUAUAACCUCUGCAGCGUUGUUUAUUCUUUUGUCAUGGCAGCAGUUACCGCAUCGCAUCUCGUUGACUAAUUCUAUCGAUUUGCUGCGACGGUUAUCCCUAGAUCUGUACAUGAUCUGGAACAGUCCGUCGAAAAGCUUUUGCACAUCGCACAUAAUUGUUUGU